AGUGGGGAAUCUUACGCAAGGGGGCAAAGCGGAAUCCAGCCCAACGGGGGAAACCAAGAAGCUGUUACGCUGGGUAAGCGAUGAAGGCCUUGAUAAAGUAAAGUUAGUUAUUACGGGACGAUAAUGACGGUACCCACAGAAGAAGCCCCGGCUAACUACGUGCCAGCAGCCGCGGUAAUACGUAGGGGGCAAGCGUUGUUCGGAUUUACUGGGCGUAAAGGGCGCGUAGGUGGUUAGUUAAGUCGGAUGUGAAAUCCCCGGGCUUAACCUGGGAACUGCAUUCGAAACUGGAUAUCUAGAGUACGGUAGAGGAAAGUGGAAUUCCUAGUGUAGCGGUGAAAUGCGUAGAUAUCGGAGGAACACCAGUGGCGAAGGCGGCUCU
rnacentral:rRNA from 1 species